rnacentral:rRNA from 1 species
GACCCCGCACAAGCGGUGGAGCAUGUGGUUUAAUUCGAAGCAACGCGAAGAACCUUACCAAAUCUUGACAUCCUUUGACCCUUCUAGAGAUAGAAGUUUCCCCUUCGGGGGACAAAGUGACAGGUGGUGCAUGGUUGUCGUCAGCUCGUGUCGUGAGAUGUUGGGUUAAGUCCCGCAACGAGCGCAACCCUUAAGCUUAGUUGCCAUCAUUAAGUUGGGCACUCUAAGUUGACUGCCGGUGACAAACCGGAGGAAGGUGGGGAUGACGUCAAAUCAUCAUGCCCCUUAUGAUUUGGGCUACACACGUGCUACAAUGGACAAUACAAAGGGCAGCGAAACCGCGAGGUCAAGCAAAUCCCAUAAAGUUGUUCUCAGUUCGGAUUGUAGUCUGCAACUCGACUACAUGAAGCUGGAAUCGCUAGUAAUCG